GGUAGUAUAGCUCAGUGGUAGAGCGUUCGACUGGAAAUCGAGAGGUCCCCGGUUCGAAUCCGUGUGUUUUCA
rnacentral:tRNA from 1 species